rnacentral:rRNA from 1 species
CUGGCGGCAGGCCUAACACAUGCAAGUCGAGCGCUCACUUCGGUGGGAGCGGCGGACGGGUUAGUAACGCGUGGGAAUAUGCCCGGUACUAAGGAAUAGCCUUUGGAAACGAAGAGUAAUACCUUAUACGCCCUUCGGGGGAAAGAUUUAUCGGUGUCGGAUUAGCCCGCGUAAGAUUAGAUAGUUGGUGGGGUAAUGGCCUACCAAGUCUACGAUCUUUAGCUGGUUUUAGAGGAUGAUCAGCAACACUGGGACUGAGACACGGCCCAGACUCCUACGGGAGGCAGCAGUGGGGAAUCUUAGACAAUGGGCGCAAGCCUGAUCUAGCCAUGCCGCGUGAGUGAAGAAGGCCUUAGGGUCGUAAAACUCUUUCGCCAGAGAUGAUAAUGACAGUAUCUGGUAAAGAAACCCCGGCUAACUCCGUGCCAGCAGCCGCGGUAAUACGGAGGGGGUUAGCGUUGUUCGGAAUUACUGGGCGUAAAGCGCACGUAGGCGGACUGGAAAGUUGGGGGUGAAAUCCCGGGGCUCAACCUCGGAACUGCCUCCAAAACUAUCAGUCUAGAGUUCGAGAGAGGUGAGUGGAAUUCCAAGUGUAGAGGUGAAAUUCGUAGAUAUUUGGAGGAAUACCAGUGGCGAAGGCGGCUCACUGGCUCGAUACUGACGCUGAGGUGCGAAAGUGUGGGGAGCAAACAGGAUUAGAUACCCUGGUAGUCCACACCGUAAACGAUGAAUGCCAGUCGUCGGCAAGUAUACUUGUCGGUGACACACCUAACGGAUUAAGCAUUCCGCCUGGGGAGUACGGUCGCAAGAUUAAA